rnacentral:rRNA from 1 species
UGGAGAAAGUUUGAUCCUGGCUCAGGACGAACGCUGGCGGCGUGCUUAACACAUGCAAGUCGAACGCUGAAGCUCCAGCUUGCUGGGGUGGAUGAGUGGCGAACGGGUGAGUAAUACGUGAGUAACCUGCCCUUGACUCUGGGAUAAGCCUGGGAAACCGGGUCUAAUACUGGAUACGACGUCCUACCGCAUGGUGGGGGGUGGAAAGGGUUUUACUGGUUUUGGAUGGGCUCACGGCCUAUCAGCUUGUUGGUGGGGUAAUGGCCUACCAAGGCGACGACGGGUAGCCGGCCUGAGAGGGUGACCGGCCACACUGGGACUGAGACACGGCCCAGACUCCUACGGGAGGCAGCAGUGGGGAAUAUUGCACAAUGGGCGCAAGCCUGAUGCAGCGACGCCGCGUGAGGGAUGACGGCCUUCGGGUUGUAAACCUCUUUCAGCAGGGAAGAAGCCACAA